rnacentral:tRNA from 1 species
GCUCCGAUAGUGUAGUCCGGCCAAGCAUAGCGGCCUUUCAAGCCGCGGACCCGGGUUCGAAUCCCGGUCGGAGCA